ACUUUAGUCUUAUAUUCAUUUUUAAAUGAUAUUAAAUUGCAAAUUUAAAGGAGUAAAUUUACUAAGACUU
rnacentral:tRNA from 1 species